UGGGGAAUCUUGCACAAUGGGGGCAACCCUGAUGCAGCGACGCCGCGUGAGCGAUGAAGCCCUUCGGGGCGUAAAGCUCUUUCGACCGGAACGAUAAUGACGGUACCGGGAGAAGAAGCUGCGGCUAACUACGUGCCAGCAGCCGCGGUAAUACGUAGGCAGCAAGCGUUGUUCGGAGUUACUGGGCGUAAAGAGUGCGUAGGCGGUUUUCUAAGUUCGGUGUGAAAUCUCCCGGCUUAACUGGGAGGGUGCGCCGAAGACUGGGAAGCUGGAGUGUGGGAAAGGCAGGCGGAAUUCCUGGUGUAGCGGUGAAAUGCGUAGGUAUCAGGAGGAACACCGGCGGUGUAGACGGCUUGCUAGACCAUAACUGACGCUGAGGCACGAAAGCGUGGGUAGCAAACA
rnacentral:rRNA from 1 species